GCUCUUGUUCGCUCUCCUCCUCACCACAUCUUUAUCCAAAGACCUCUGUCACAAAGAUGACAAAAACACCCUCCUCAAGAUCAAGAAAGCCAUGAACGACCCUUACACCAUCAUCUCCUGGGACCCCAAGGACGACUGCUGCACCUGGUACUCCGUUGAGUGCGGCAACGCAAACCGCGUCACCUCUCUAGACUUAUCAGACGACGACGUCUCCGCUCAGAUCCCUCCUGAAGUCGGCGACUUGCCUUAUCUACAAUACCUCACGUUCCGCAAACUCCCUAACCUCACCGGUGAAAUCCCACCCACCAUCGCCAAGCUCAAGUAUCUCAAAUCUCUCUGGCUCAGCUGGAACAGCCUGACCGGCCCGGUUCCUGAAUUUCUGAGCCAGCUCAAGAACCUAGAGUACAUUAACCUUUCUUUCAAUAAACUCUCUGGCUCCAUACCCGGUUCUCUCUCUUUGUUACCUAAACUAGAUUUUCUUGAACUAAGCAGGAACAAGCUUACAGGUAAUCACUCAUUCUCUUUGUCUCCAUUAGUCUUUUAUUAACAAGCUGUAAUUUUAAAAAUCUCAUUUAUCAAAAUAUACAAUUAGGUCCCAUACCAGAGUCAUUUGGAUCAUUUAAAAGAGCAGUAUAUGGGAUUUACCUAUCGCACAACCAGCUGUCCGGUUCUAUACCAAAAUCACUAGGCAACAUCGACUUUAACACCAUUGAUCUUUCCCGGAACAAGCUUGAAGGUGAUGCGUCCAUGUUGUUUGGAGUAAAAAAGACGACAUGGCACAUUGACUUAUCUAGAAACAUGUUCCAGUUCGAUAUCUCCAAGGUUAAGGUCGCUAAGACAGUUAAUUUCUUGGACUUGAAUCACAACGGGCUCACAGGGAGUAUCCCGGAUCAAUGGACCCAACUUGAUCUUCAGACUUUCAACGUUAGCUAUAACAGACUGUGUGGACGCAUCCCUCAGGGAGGUGACCUUCAGAGUUUUGAUGCUUAUGCCUAUUUACACAACAAGUGCUUGUGUGGUGCACCUCUUCCGAGUUGCAACGUGAAGAUUCAGGCAACCGAUCUUUAUCUAAACUUACCAUCAGAAUAAAUCAUGUAUAAGGACACCUGUAUGUUCCUUUCGGAAUAAAAAUGAAUCAUAUUUCAUUUGAUAAGAUUUAGCCCGUUUUUAGAAUGUACUAAUAUGAUUGAUCGUCUAGCAACGUUGAGUAGGACACCACAUGAACAGAUCGAAACCAUUAUUGGUGAUUGUUUUUUUUACGAGUUAAACAAAUCGAGUGACAUUGAAUCUUUCCCAUUAACUGUUUAUAAAAAUGAUAGAUGCAAAAACAUUCUGCUUUCCCAUCUAUGUUCCGCAGAUGAUCUGUUGGUUUUCACUGAUGGCACGAAAAGGUCUAUUGAAGCAGUGCUCAGGAUAUUCAAGGUGUUUGAAAGCUGUUCUGGUUUAAGGAUAAGUUUGGAAAAAUCCACUCUAUACACUGCGGGCAUAAGUGACAAUAUAAAGGAAGACAUUCUUGCAUCUUUUCCUUUCUCAACGGGUAGCCUACCGGUUAGAUACUUGGGAUUACCUCUCCUUACUAAGCGCAUGACAGUGAAUGACUAUCUGCCCCUUGUAGAGAAAGUGCGAAAGAAAAUGAGCUCAUGGACAGGAAGACUUCUUUCGCGUGCGGGACGCUUGCAACUUCUAAAGUCUGUCAUAACAAGCUUAGCUAACUUCUGGAUGGCAGCUUUCAGGCUUCCCCGUAGCUGCCUAAAAGAGAUUGAAAGGCUUUGCUCGGCUUAUCUUUGGUCUGGUCCUGAUCUCAAAACAACAAAAGCGAAGGUUAGCUGGCAAGACAUCUGUUACCCAAAAGAAGAAGGUGGAUUGGGGCUUAGACCUUUGAAGGAACUAAAUAAAGUGUAUGGGCUGAAGCUCAUAUGGAGGCUACUGGCAGAGACGUCGUUAUGGGUCCGUUGGGUCCAAUGCUAUUUGGUUCGCAAAGGUUCAUUCUGGUCUAUCAAAGAAAAUACUAGUUCGGGAUCAUGGGUCUGGAGGAAGUUACUGAAACUGAGAGGUCUUGCAAAACAGUAUAUAAAGAAGGAAGUGAGAAAUGGAGAGAAUACAUCUUUUUGGUAUGAUAGCUGGUCAAGAUUUGAUAUUUUAAAAGACAUGCUUGGAGAACGAGGUUCGCUUGAUUUGGGAGUUCCUGACCACUAUUCUGUUGCGGAAGUAAAAAGAAGUAGAAUGAGGAGUAGUAGGAGAAGAAACCAUAGAGUGGAUAUCCUAAAUCAGAUAGAAGAAGUGAUAAGUAGGCUUGAAAAUGGCAAUGAGGAGGACAUUGUAUUAUGGAAGCAUGCAGAAGGUAAAUUCAGAACCAACUUCUCGACAAGCAAAACUUGGGAUCAGAUUCGAAAUGUGAAGCCCAUAUGCACAUGGCAUAAGGGAGUCUGGUUUCCUCAAUCAACUCCGAAGUAUGCUUUUACUAUGUGGGUAGCUAUCAAAGGAAGAUUGCAGACAACAGACAGAAUGCAGCAGUGGAAUAGCUCCAUUAACACAACGUGUGUGCUCUGUAAUGAUGUGCCAGAGUCUUGUGCUCAUCUUUUCUUUGGCUGUCGUUACUCCGAGAGGAUUUGGAGAAAGCUUGCGGAGGGUCUGAUGAGAGAUGCUUUCACUGUGGACUGGAGUGAGUUGAUAUCUAUAGUCUCGAAAUCAUGGGUAACACCUAUCAAGACAUUCAUACUCCGAUAUGUAUUGCAAGCCACAGUUUACACAAUUUGGUGGGAGAGAAAUGCGCGCAGGCAUGGGGAGAAGCCUAGAGAUAUCAAUGGGUUAAUUAAGCUUGUGGACAAGUAUAUGAGGUUGAAACUUUUAUCACUAAAGGGAAGAGGAGAUUACUAUGAAGAAGGUCUGGUAACAUGGUUUGGUGUUCAGCCUAGCUCAUGAUUGCUAUAGACAGAUAUUUGAAGUUGUUUUGAUGGCCGCAUGGUUGGAUGCAAGGUGAGAAGGUUGCUAUGAAAUGUAGUGGUCUAGUAGGAGUGAGUGUUAGACAUCCAGUAGGAGUGAGUGCUGGAUAACCAGUAGGAGUGAGAGCUGGCUACCUAGUAGGAGUGAGAGCUAGGUAGAUUGAAAGAAGGUGAAUAUAGGGAUGAGUAAAGCUGAUGACUUGCAGGAAAAGUUUCUAUCUUUCUACUUGGGUUUUAACUAAUCUUGUAUAGAAAGUUUAAGAAAGGACACACAUAGUUGUAAAAAAGAUAUUUUCUUUUGAAUUCAAUUUAACAUUAAUUCAAAAAAAAAAAAAAAAUGAUAGAGCUAAACUUUUUGUUAUGUGAAUAAAGUUUUGAUUGGUACAGAAAUGUUUAGAGCAUUUUAGUUUUUUUUUUUUACAUUAUCUCUUCCAAAUCCCUUUUUUUUUGUAUAAAACGUACAUUUCUUUUAACAAUGUAGGGCUAAAAAUGAUUUUACGGACCGGAAAAUAGAAGCCCAAAUGAUAAAGAGUUUCCAUAUAUAAAUACUAGCCCAGGUUUUUUUUGAUGGUUUAGGGUUUCGAAGUUUUCGGUUUUCUUUAAGGUCACGGCACUUACCGCAGCAGAGCUGUUUCUUCACUGGCACGGUACAGUGUUUCUAAUUUCUAAUGCCAUAUUUACUAGCAAAGUAAAUCUAAGUUAUGUUACACAAAUCGAGUGAUCAGAACCACACCAAUUAAAUGUUCAUAAAAUGCUUGUUCGAUCCUCUGUUUUAAGAACGGAGAAGAAGCCAGACAAAGACUUAUCGAGUUAUCCUCUGUUUUUCACUUAUAAGCUAACUCAAAGGUUGGACCUCUAAACAUUUCAGGGCUCGUUUUCAAAUUGCUGACUCCAGUGCAUAAUUCUGUUUUGAGCUUUACUUUUGAAGGCUCGGUCCCUUUAUCGACUCAAAUGUCUCUUCCGGUUUAGCAAUCCAGUCAACUGAACCAGACCGGAGAUUAAUCCAUGAGUUCACACACACCGUCGGUAACCAAUCAAAAUACUUUGUUUUAAAUUUAAAAGUGGGAUAUUUUAAAGAUAUCACCGGAACUUGUUUAACAUGUAAAAGUCAGCAAAAGUAAAACGCGUACACUACCAUUUAAUUGCCUGACUUGCGUUAGCCUAUAUAUAUGAUCACAAGUUUUCAAUUUAAGCUCAAACGUAAAUACAACACUCUAUGGAUAAGACAACGACACUGCUCUUGCUCUUGUUCGCUCUCCUCCUCACGACAUCUUUAUCCAAAGACCUCUGUCACAAAGAUGACCUCUCCGGUUCGAUACCCGGUUCACUCUCUUUAUUACCUAAACUCGAGAUUCUUGACCUCAGCAGGAACAAGCUUACAGGUGAAUUACUACUCUCUCUGUCUCUAUAAGUCAUCAAUUAACCUGAGUAACAAACCAUAAAUUUUCUAACGUCAAGUUUAAACUUCCAACUAUAGGUUCGAUACCAGAGUCAUUUGGAUCCUUUAAAGGAGUGAUGUAUGCUCUUUUCCUAUCUCACAACCAGCUGUCCGGUUCUAUUCCGAAAUCAUUAGAAAACCUGGACAUUAACCAGAUUGAUCUUUCCCGGAACAAGCUUGAAGGUGACGCGUCGAUGUUGUUUGGAGCCCAAAAGACUACACAUAACAUUGACCUAUCAAGAAACAUGUUCCAGUUCAAUAUCUCCAUGGUUAAAGUCUCUAAAACAGUUAAUUUCUUGCACUUGAAUCACAACGGGCUCACAGGGACUAUCCCGAUUCAAUGGACCCAACUUGAUCUUCAGAUUUUCAAUGUUAGCUAUAACAGACUGUGUGGACGCAUCCCCCAGGGAGGGGAACUUCAGAGAUUUGAUGCUUAUGCCUAUUUACACAACAAGUGUUUGUGUGGUGCACCUCUUCAGAGUUGCAAGUGAGGUUACCGAGUAAACUUACCACAAGUAUCAAUCAAGUCUAAGGACAACUGUAUUUUCCAUUGGCAGUGAAUAAUAAAACACAUGAAGCACAUUUGAUGAAUUCAUUACAUUUUCAAAACGUAUGUGAUUUAUUGGCUAGCAACGUUCGAGUAUGUUAGAAAGUCCAUAACAUUUUAAGAAAUAUUGAUACAAAUAUAUUCUUAUACAAUUUUAAAAGUAUAAAACAUAUAUAACUUUUUAUUUAUUGGAACCAAAGCUAAUGUUUCAUUAGGCUCAUCGACUCUAGUAUGUCACCACGUCAACAUAGCAAAACCAUUAAUUGGUGAAAAGUUGUUUCCAAUAUAAAAGAUAGCUAGUGACCAUGAACAAGACCCACUAACUCUUCAGAAAAUGCUCGAGGUAUCCACCGUUUGAAGAAUAACAUAGGGUAUGAUUGGUAACGUGGACAGCGGCAACUGGAGUAAAUUAAAGUAAAAAUUAAGUGGAAAGAUAUAUAUUGUUAUUUGUUUCAGCCGGUUUACUCUUGCUUUUGUAGGGUAGAAAAAAAAUGGAAACAGCAAAUAAAAGAUUCAUUUUCUACCGUAAAGGAGUGAAAAAGUAUUUUCACCUAUUUUAUCACGAUGGAUGAUUGGAUGUAAUUGAAUGAAACUGAGAGUAAAAUAUUUUACUCUUAAUUUUUUUAACGCUAAUGAUGUCAUCCAGUUACACUCAUAGUAAAAUAAUCCAAAACUAUCAUAUUUUCAUACUAUUUUUAGAUUUUAACUAAAAAAAAUUAAGAGAUGUCUCUUAAAUAAUAGAUAUAAAAGAAAUUUCUUAACGAUGAACUGUUGGUGAAUAGAGGUCAGAGCACUCAUAACAAAAAAAAACGCUCUCUAGGAAAGGACGAUAGCAAAGGUGAUUAGGGUUUCACCACCCUUUCGCCGCCUUGGUUUCGCCUCACGCGUAUCAACGAGAAACUUCUUCGUCUUCACUCUCCUCCUCUCCGUCCAUGGCGUCGCUGGUAGCAGGUCUAGCUUCCUUUCCACGCCCUCCCUCAGAUCCGCCAGAUUUGUGUUUUAAGUUUGCUCUCCGGUCAAAUCCUCCAGAUCCUCCGGUUCCUCCUGACCCUCCGCCUGAUAUUCUAUCAGUCAUGGGGUUUCUUCAGUUGUACAAUCUCUGGGCCACCGUUGGCUUUCCCCAUAAGUUCUCAGAUCCAAAGUUAUGCUUGACGAUUUCAGAUGGUGGGCUAGCCUCAGAUAAAGAUUUGUUCUUCCCGGAUGGAACAGUCUUUGUACUUACUCCCCUAUACCAAGUAAGCUCAGACUCUUUACCCUACGCUUCCGAGUGUGGUUGGAUUAUCAGUGUGUGGGUAGAGCUGGUCUUAUUGGAUCUGAGAUUUUCCGUUCUAGUUCCGACUGUUUCGGUUGCAUUUGGUUAUGCUAUUGUGGCCUUUGUUGGUACCUUUGUGGUCUGUGUAUGGUCCAUUACUGCAGUAUGCAGAUGUUGUCCCUUUACUGCAGUAUGCAGGUUUACUUCCACCUUUGCUCUAAUGGCUUUUGAAAUGACAUGGCAUUCUCUCCUCAUGUGGCAAUUUGGAGUGAAAGUUCUGAAGUUGUGUAUCCUUUCAGCAAAUCUGGUUUGUUUAGGCUCUCUUUGUCCUCCCUAUUCCUUUAAGGAGUGUUUCAUCCUCCCACAUCGAUCACUUGUUAUAAGUGAAAUUGUUAUAGGGAGCAUUGUGUUGAAGAUGGUUCUGUUUGUAGCAGAAGCGAAGAUGUCUAUCGUCUCUCGUUUUGAUGGUGUUAACUGUCUGACCUCAUUGACCAUGGAGGCUUUUAUCCCUCCCCUUUAUUGUUUCGAUCAGGAAUGUCAAUUUGAAGAAGUCUUCUGGUCUGACUUGCCUUUCUCGGAGAAAACGGUGGUUGAACGUGUGAUAUCACCUUUAUCAAGUCUUUGCUUGAGUACUUGUUGUUUAAGCUUUACCAUUUGCCUGUCCAGUAUAUUGGUCUGUGCUUUAGUUUCUUUGGCUCUUUGUAGCCUUGUUGUAUCCUCCACUAGUGGAGUUAAACUCUUUUAAGUUUUAAUGGAAGUAAGUUUGAUCAAAAAAAAAAAAAAAAAUUUCUUAACUAAUUUCUUAACUUUUUUUAGUUAAAAGCUAAAAUACUAUAUUUUAUAUUAUGAUAAGAAUUUUAACCUAAGAAACAUACAAUAAACAUGCUCUAAUAGUAACAACUAACUCUUAAGUUCGGACAUUGUUUUCAAACUUCCGGUUUAGUAAUCCAGUCAAUUGAACCUGACCGGAAAUUGGUCCAUGGGUUCACGCACCACCUGUUUAACCCAUCAAAAUACUUUAUUUUAAAGACCAACAACCGAACUUAUUUAACACGUGGUCUAGUCAGCAAUAUUAAUAACAACAAAAACAGUACCCUACCAUGUUUCUAAUUGGUUGCGUAUAUAUCAUCACGGGUUUCCACUUAAGCUCAAACACAAACACAACACACUAUGGAGGGUAAGACAACGACACUGCUCUUGCUCUUGUUCACUCUCCUCCUCACGACAUCUUUAUCCAAAGAUCUCUGUCACAAAGAUGACAAAAACACCCUCCUCAAGAUCAAGAAAGCCAUGAACGACCCUUACACCAUCAUCUCCUGGGACCCCAAGGACGAUUGCUGCACCUGGUACGCCGUUGAGUGCGGCAACGCAUCUAUUAACCACCGCGUCACUUCUCUAGACAUAUCAAACGACGACGUCUCCGCUCAGAUCCCACCCGAAGUCGGCGACUUGCCUUAUCUAGAAUAUCUCAUAUUCCACAAACUCCCUAACCUCACCGGUGAAAUCCCACCCACCAUCACCAAGCUCAAGUAUCUCCGUUAUCUCUGGCUCAGCUGGAACAACCUGAGCGGCCCGGUUCCUGAAUUACUGAGUCAGCUCAAGAAUCUAGAGUACAUUAACCUUUCCUUCAAUAAGCUCU
rnacentral:lncRNA from 1 species